GGGCCCGUAGCUCAGUGGAGAGAGCCGCCGACUUCUAAUCGGCUGGGCGGGGGUUCGAUUCCCUCCGGGCCCGCCA
rnacentral:tRNA from 2 species